GACAAUUAGAAAUUUAUUUCUUUCACUGUAGUAUUCCCGGAACCUCGGCAAAGAGGGUAGCGAUCAGCCUCUUAGGCAUUAUCCCAGCCUGGGGUGAAAGGGACAAAGGACCCACCCCACAAAAGCAGCCGUUCUCGCGGCCCCAUGAAGCAGUAAGAGCUAGAAGUCCCCCUCAGACUCCUCUGUACUGGGGGCCAAUGAGGCUCCUUGGAAUGUUCCAGAGACUUCCUUGGGGAACAGGAAGUGCCUUCAAGGCUUUCGAAUGGCAGUGGAAGGAAACUAUUGUUAUUGGAAACAAAAUCUAACCUGGUAACUGCAGCCCUGUCUUCUUAGAAGCUGAGGACCAAAACACAAUCCAAACAGCAGUGGAACAAAAUCUCUAGGCCCUCUCCUUCUUGAAGACCUUGAUGAGGAAGAGAGAAGGAGCAACUCUUCAGGCGGACGCCCCACUGCGUAGGGAGGAUCCUGAUGAAUUUCUGGUCUGCGGAGAGGUUCAGCGUCUAGUCUGGGAGUGAAAAACUGGAAAGCACAACUGUUCUAUGUAUUAAAAGGGAGGAAGAUUUGAGGGUUUACUGCAAACAGGGGGCGCACUGGAGCAGAGGAGAAAGGAGAGAGCAAACUGGUGGAAGAACCAGGAGCCCAGGCUGGUGACAAUGGUCAGAGACUUUAGGAACCAGAAGUCCCAUGGCUCACCUAAGCCAGGCACAGAAACAGAUCGUUCUCAACAUCCAGGAAAGUUGCUGAGCUCCAUGCCUGGAUCUGCAAAAAGGAUAGGAUGCUGCCGAGGGAGGGAAGAGCCAGAGGAGGUCUGAGUUCUGCCAAAGGUCAAACACGAGGUGCAGAAUCCACAGGGAGACUCAGGGCAAGGGUUUGAGAAGACAGCCCUCAAAGGAUUCCUCGGUGUGACUUGCAGGGAAGUUCCAAGAAAGCUCCCCUGAUCCAAAGCCACCCCAACGGCAGGUCUGAUGCCCAUGCAGAAGGUGAUAAACACUCUUGCCCAUCCUGCCCAGAGCAGACCACUCACAGAGCUCAAGCCUGGAAGGACUUUUGCAAGAGCCCAAUUCCUUUCCAACCUCAAGCUUGUCCAUAAAUGACCAUGAGAUCAGGGGAGUGGAAAUAUAGCAAGUGAGGACUGAUGAAAAGAACUGGGGGUGUUUGGACUAAAACAAGAAGGCCUGGGAGGACGAGAGAACCAUCUCCAAACCAGGAUGGGAAUGGGCUUAUCAUCUAUUAUGAUUCUGGAGGGCGAAACUGAAGUCAGAAGAUAGAAGCAGCAGGAAAAAAUAACUUGGCUCAAGGCAAGGGGGGCGUUCUUGCCGCUUGAGAAAGUGAAAGUGACUUCCUAUGAACAGUGAGAGAAGGGGCAGAGGAGGUGAGAGCCUGACCUCCGGUGCUUGGUGCGGAGUGGUGGGGCACAGUGUCCAAGCUGAAAUGGGGUGAGAUUCUUGGAUGGGAUGCCCUGAUUCUAACCUCCCGCUAAGAUCCCAGCAAUAACACCACCUGCAGAGCCCACCAUGGGAAACGGAGCUGCUCACAGGGCAGGAGGUGGCUCCCUGAAGCUGUGGUGACCCAACACUUUGGGGAUUAUUUCCAGAGUAAGCAUGAGUGUCUGUGAGUGCACGUGGGGACAGCAGGACAGACCCUCAGCAAGGUCUUGCAAUGACCUUCUCAAGUGGGCCUUCCCUGAGCAGAGGGGUUUCCAGAACAUCUCCUUGCCUGAGUCACUGACUUAAAGGCAGAGAAUUGGGGAACAGGGGGUUCUCCGCUGGGCAGAGUAACUCCCCGUGUUCUCAGGUGUUCCCAAGGAGCGUGUGUGCUGAGCGCCGAGGGGAUUGGGUGGGAAGGCUGCAGAGCUAGAAAGCCUGAGAGAUCCACUAAGGGGGUCUCCAUAAACUGGGUGAGCUGGCCAAUGGGGCGCUCUUUCCUCACCUCCAGUACAUCAGGGGCCAUGGAAGAGGCUUUAGACACGGCGACCUAAGUCGCUGUGGACAGCAAUUACGAUGAGAGCAUGGGCACCUGCCACUGUGCUGGGAGGCUGGGCAAGGCCAGCUCCCAUCACCUGGACUGACCAUCUCGUGAUCAUGGGACCAGAGCAGGACACCUGGAGACUUGGAUUUCAGAGAGCAGUUUUCAUGGUCAAUGCGAGAACACCCUCAGCCUGGGCCUAAUGAAGACGUGGACUCUGGUGCAGAAGUUCCAAAUGUCCUUAAGGACUGCCUUUAAAAUCCAUCACUUUGACAUUUUGGCAUCGCUAACGCCCCUGGCCUUAUUUCGCCCAUUCCCCCCACCUACCCCUCCCUCUAAAACUGGGUUAUAUAAUAUUUGAGUGUCAUAAAGCACUCUAAGCAGCAGGCUUCGGGGUGAAGGCAGGCUCUCCAGUGAUCCUGCAAGGGAGAAUUGAACAGCUAAACAGGGUUUGGAAGUUCCAGGGAGCAGAUUGAGUAACGGUGUUUAGAGCACUGCCAUAUACAAUUUUCUGGAUCCUCGACUACAGCAGCAACAGGGAAAAGGGGGUUUGUGUAGCGAAGCAUCACUUUGAUGGGUAUAAAAAGAGUAUUGACUUAACAUUUACUGCCUCACAGUCAGGGAAAUUCUACAGCAAAAGCAUCUCAUCAACAUGAGGCUGACUCGAGGCUCUUUGAACAGGAUGGAGUUAAAAAGAAUCCAAAAGGAAGGACGCAAACCAUGUAGAUUGUUCCUCUUGCUCCAAUGAUUGUACUUAAAGUGACAUGUUUAUUUCUUUUUAAAUAAAAAUUAGAAGCUAAAAUUCUCUCAAGCACAUAACAGCUGAGUUCAGAGAGGGUUUGAUGAAUUAAGCAAGUAAACACUUCACAAAAACACUCCACCAUUUGGUUAAAGAGACUGUCACUGCUCAGGGGAGUGCCGGGAUUUUAAUAAUGAAAAAUACCUCUUCACUGAAGACUGCGUGGGUGGAGGGCAGUCUGGAUUCCAUAAUCAAAUCUGUCAUUUUCGAGGAGGCUAGUUUUCUCUCUAAACCCAGAUGUUCUUUGAAUACGAGAUGGCUCUGACACUUGUCUUUCAGUCUCUGGUUCAAAUCAUCUUUAUUUCCUCCAAGCCCCACAGCUUUGGAAAGAAGAAGGCACGAGUUUUUGGAGAAGAGCAUUGUGUGCCUCAAAAACGGGCAUAGAGCGAGUUCCCGUUGUGGUUCAGCGGGUAAUGAACCCAACUAGGAUCCAUGAGAACAUGGGUUCGAUCCCUGGCCUCACUCAAUGGGUUAAGGAUCUGGCGUUGCUGCAAGCAUAGGGCACAGAUGUGGCUCAGAUUGCACGUUGCUGUGGCUGUGGUGUAGGCUGCCAGCUGCAGCUCUGAUUCAACCCCUAGCCUGAGAAUUUCCAUAUGACGUGGGUGGGACCCUAAAAAAGCAAAAAAAAAAAAAAAGCAAAAAAAAAAUUAAACCAACUCUAAAUAACUGAAGUGGAAAAGGAAAAUUAAUAGCUCACAAACCCACAGGACAGUGAGGCCAAGGGUAGCCGCUCUCUCUCUCUGAGUUGCCCUCAUUCUGAGGGUCAGCUGGCCCAGGAAAUCUGUCAUACACCUCAGUUCUAUCCUACCAGGCCUUGUGGCCUUACACCUCCCAACCAGACAAGGCAGAAACUUCUCCCUACUUACUAUUUGUUUGUUGUUUGUUUGUGUUCUUGUUUUGUUUUGUUUUUUAUGGCCGCACCCUCAGCACAUGGACGUUCCCAGGUUCAGGGUCAAAUCUGAGUGGCGUCUGGGACCUACACCACAGCUCACGGCAACAACGCAUCCUUAACCCACUGAGCGAGGCCAGGGAUCGAACCUACAUCCUCAUGGAUACUAGUUGGGUUCAUAACCCUCUGAACCACAUGGGAACUCCAUUCCACUUAGUAUCAUAAAACAGUAUGCAGAAGUUCCUGGGCCAGGUAUCAAACCCAUGCCACAGCCAUGACAAUGCCUGGUCCUUAACCCACUGAGCCACCAGGGAACUCCUCUUUUACUUUUUUAGUGUGGCUAAUAAAAAAUUCUAAAAGACAUAUUCAGCUGGAAUUUUAUUUCAGUCAGGGGUGGCUUCUCUAAGAUCAAGGACCUAGCCUUCACUACCUGAGGCCAGCCUAUCCAGCUAGGUAUUCAGAGGGCGAACAGGAUGGAAUUGACUUUCCUUCUAACGUAAGCGUGUCCUUAGGGUCUCAGUGCGUUCGGUUCAGGGAGUUGACUUUUUUUUUUUAACUCUAGCCAGAGUCCCUGCUUUGGUAUCUCUAAGCCAUGCCCCUAAAAGAAUUACAUCAAAAAUCAGCCUCCGUUUCUUUAGAGAGGCACAAAGCGAGAGCCAACAUACAGUUAUGAGUCUUUGUCUGGAUUCCAAAUCCCUAUAUAAAUCCACAAGCUAUCAAGACUUCCUGCCAGCCCCUGCUGCAGGUGGAACAGCAGGGGUGAUUCAGGGUAAAAUGUACUCUUAUCCGUGUCGUUGUGCCACAAAGAUGUCAGAUUGUAGAUGCAGCCUCUGCAGGUGCUUGAUGCACUAGCCAGCUGAUGAAACGGAACAGCUUUUCGCUUCAUGCCAGCCCAUUUUCUACAUGCAACCCUUUUAUUCUGUGGGAAGCCAGCGUCGGGUGGGGAAGGGAAUGAAAGUCUGGGUUGGAAAAUGCAUUGUCUUCCACCCAGAAAACCUUAGCUGGGAAACAAAUGCAGACGAGGCCGCCUUGCUUCUGUACAGAAAGCACCUUGCAUACACUACCCGCUUCCCCUCCCGGCUCCCGGGCAAGGAGGAAGGCAGGUCUCUGAGAUGCCAAUGUUAGUCAAAGUCUGUCCCUAAAAGCUUGUGACCUCAAAGGAGCCCUCCAACCUUCCGCCUGCUGGCUUCCAUCCUGGUUAGGUAAUAAGGCAUUCAAGGACACGUCAGAAGCCCCCGUUGCAUCUCAGUGGGUUAAGAACCCAACAAUGUCCAUGAGGACUCGGGUUCGAUCCCUGGCCCCUCUCAGUGGGUUAAGGAUCCGGCAUUGGCACAAACUGCAGCAUGGGUCAUGGAUGCAGCUCUGAUCUGGAGUUCUUGUGACUGUGGGGGAGGCCGGCAGCUAUGGCUCCCAUUCGACCCCUGGCCUAGGAACUCCCAUAGGUCACAGGUGUGGCCUUAAAAAAGAAAAAAAGACACUUCAGAAAAUAUUUCCAAAUGCAAACUACAGCCCGCCCUGCUGCCCCUCCACUCCAGUGAAAAUAAGAUGCAAAAUUUGCCACAGCCUCUAAGACCCUACAGGACUGAGCAGGGUCUGCCCCUUGGGCUCAUCUCUUGCUGCUCUUUUUCCAUCACACUCUGGCCUUUGCUUUGCUGCUGUUCCUGGAACAGAUGGAGCUGGUCCUGCCACAGGGCCUUUGCCUGGGCAGCGCCCUCGGCUGGAGCCCUCUUCCCACUGACUCUCUUCUCCGCCCCAGAGGGGGCUUCCUAGAUCAACGCCUCUGAAUGGGUACAACCCCACCCCACCUCCAGCCAGACUCCAAUGCAUAUCCUCUGUUCUUUGGGACACAUAGAUGUCUAGCUGAAUCAUCUUUCAUCUGUUUAGCAGCUUGUCAUCAACAUUAACCUGGUGAGAUGUAAGCCCUUUGAGGGCAGUGGCCCUGUUGGAGAUUCCCAGUGUCCCCAGCUGUGCCUGAUAGGGAAAUGAAUGAGAUUUACACACACACACACACACACACACACACACACACACACACACACACACGGAGGGGCAGAUGGGAUGUACCACAUAAAGGAAUGGUAGGUCGCCGGUAUGAGUUGAGUUGUGUCUUCUCCCUCCCCCAUUCAUACGUUGAAAUUCUCGCCCCAGAGUGUGACUCUAUUUGGGGAAAGCUCACUGCAGAUGUCAUUUGCUAAGAGGCGGUCAUGCUGGGGUAGGGUGGGCCUUUAGUCCAGCAGGACCGAUGUCCUUAUAAAAGGGGAAAUUUGGACUCAGAAAAGGACACGUGGGGAACAUUAUGUGAAGGUCAAGGCAGAAACUGGGGUGAUGGUUCUCCAUGGCAAGGAUUUCCAGCCAAUGUCUAGAAACUAGACACUACACAAGAAGAACAGACAGACGGUCACAGCCCCAGAAGUAACCAACCCCGCUGACAUUGUCUUCUAGCUUCCAGAACCGUAAAGACAAUAAAUUAGUCUCUUAAGCCAUCCAGUUUGUGGUCCUUUGUUAUGGCAGCCAUAGAAAACUAUUCCAGUGGUUCCAGUGAGAUUCAGGUAACAGGAUUAAAUGCUUUAUUACAGUGCAUCAGGGUGCAUCAGUCUUUUUUUUUUUUUUUUCUUAUUUGCAGCUAGGAAAAAAAAAAAUCAUUGCCCCAAAGGAGCAGAGCAGUCAGUAGGUUGAAAAGCUGUGGUCGGACCAUAUUGCUGAGAGCUUUAUCCAAUGACUUGUUGUUAUGAAAGCCGUCACGGUCAACUCUUCCACCCCCCCAGAUGGCCUCCAGCCUCUCAGCUUAUCAAAUCAGUUCUCCACUCAGUGUGUGAAAGCAUCUUAAAGAUGUUCCGAUAUACAAUAGCUGCUCAAUAAACAUUAGUUCCUGCCUUUCCCAUCCCUGCCGCAAGACAGACCCAUUCCUAAAGCAUGUCUCGUGUUGCCCAUUCCUAUGACUUCCUAUGUUCAUUUAUUCAAACAUCCCUUCAUUCGUGAAACAUAUACUGAAGGUUUACUCUAUGCUAACUUCUGUGCAGGGUCAUAAGACCAUAAAAGCAAACAGUACACUAUCUCUCCUUUGAAGAUUUUGUAUCCUCCACAAGGGUGAAGUGAGUACGGUAGACAAGAAAGUGACAGGACAUGAGCAGAGUUGUGAUAAAUGCAGUGAGGUGGUGGUGGUGGGGGGAACAGCUGGAAGGUGUAGCUCAGGCCACUUCCCAAGAAGGGGAACAGUAGGGUAGAACAGUGUAUCUAGAGCCUCUAAGACCUGAGCACACAGCCAGAACCUCAAGAGCCAAGAUCCCACAGAGAAGGGAAAUUCAUGAGGGGACACUGGCGCUGGAUGCUACUUUCCCUCCAGGCAUGAAGUGCUUCUUCAGUGGAGGGACAGAAAGGCUGAGAAGCUGAGCUGAAGGUUGUUGCUGAGAGGGAGAGAAUAAGAGAGGGGGUGGCGGGGGGAAACUGAGCAGAGUUUCCCAUGUAGUUUCAUGGGUCCAACUUAUCAAAGGCUAUAGUGUGGGGCCACCAAUUCAGCCAAGACUGGAGAAGUCAAGACCCCAGAGAAAAGUGAAAUAGAAAAGAUAGACUUGGAGUUCCCAUUGUGGCUCAGCAGGUUAAGACCUUGGCAUAGUCU
ensembl:lncRNA